GGCGAUGUAGUUCAGUGGGAGAGCGUAGUUCAGUGAGAGAGCGCUUGCUCAACUUGCAACUCAACAGGAGUUGAAUGCAAGAGGCCCUGGGAUCAACCCCCAGCAUCUCCA
rnacentral:tRNA from 1 species